rnacentral:tRNA from 1 species
GAUCAGGUACGCAAACAGGAAAAGCGGCCACGGUGAGAACGUGGUGACUUUGUGGGUUCGACUCCCACUCUGAUCA